rnacentral:lncRNA from 1 species
UCUUGGGAGAUAUGUGCUGAAAUAUUGGGGUGAAGUGUUAUGAUAUCUGUAAUUUACUUUCAAAUGGUUUAGUAAAAAUGUGAUAUAGGUAUGCAUAUAUGUAGAUGUAUGUAAAUAGAUGGGAGAGAGAGAGAGAGAAAGAAUAGAUAUAGGUAAAAUAAAUUGGCGAGUCUAAGCAAAGGAUAUAUGUGUGUUCAUAGUAUUGUUCUUUCAACUUUUCUGUAGAUUUGAAAAUUUUCCCCAAAAAAGCUGAGAUAAAAUGAGAUAGUGCAAAUAAAGUACUUGGCCAAUGGGGCCAGCCCUGUUGGUAACUCUGGUGCACUCUGCUUCAGCGGCCCGGGUUCGCUGGUUCAGAUCCCAGAUGUGGACCUACACCACUUGUCAAGCCAUGCUGUGGUGGUGAUCCACAUAAAAAAGAGAGGAGGAUUGACACAGAUCUGUAUCUUCCUCAAGCAAAAAAUGAGGAAGAUUGACAACAGAUGUUGGCUCAGAGAGAAUCUUCCUCACCAAAGAAAAAAAAUUGCUUUCCAGAAAGAUAUAUCAAUUUAUAUUUUCACCAUCAGCAUUCUAUUAGUACAACUGAGGAGGGGCAUCUUUUUACACAGUUAACGGCCAUUUAUUUUUCUUCUGUGAAUUGCCUUCUCCUUUCUACCUAUUUUUCUAUUGUGUUAUUUGGUUUUUCCUUGUAUUUUUGUAAGAGUUCAUGCAUCUGUUCAUUAAUUCAUUAAGCCAAUAAAUA